rnacentral:tRNA from 1 species
GGUGUAGCUCAGUGGUAGAGCACUUGCCUAGCAUGUGUGAGGUCCUGGGUUCAAUCCCCAGCCAGUACCA